rnacentral:rRNA from 1 species
CCCUUAGACGUUCUGGGCCGCACGCGCGCUACACUGACCAGUGCAACAAGCAUCCGUCCUUGGCCGACAGGCUCGGGCAAUCUUUGAACGCUGGUCGUGAUGGGGAUAGACUUUUGCAAUUUUUGGUCUUCAACGAGGAAUUCCUAGUAAACGCAAGUCAUCAACUUGCAUUGAUUACGUCCCUGCCCUUUGUACACACCGCCCGUCGCACCUACCGAGUGAAUGGUCCGGUGAAGCCUCCGGAUUGGCGCGCACCUCGGUGCCGCCGAGAAGUUGGCUAAACCUUACCAUUUAGAGGAAGGUGAAGUCGUAACA